CGAUGGCAUCCUCAAAUGAUACAAGUGUGCCAUAAAAAUCUGCCUUGCCCUUGUUACCCGUAGCUAAAAAACAACUUUGUCCGCCUAAACAGGGAAGGCCAUGAACGGUUGCAGCGUUCCCCUGUUCUCAAGAAAUGGUCUCACCACUCCUCAAAUCAUUGUCGCUCUUCUCAGAAAUUCUCCCUUUCCUGACUUCUCCAAUUUAUAUCAUUGAAUCAUCGAUGCUGAAGCUACAAAGUGAGUGCCCAUGGUCUAGAUUUUCUUUCCCAAAUAAAAAUCCCUUAUGCUGCUACUGAUCUGAGUCAUGAUUUGGUAAUCUCAAUGUUCUACUGUUUGGGUGCUGAACUGCUCUUGGAAAAUGGAGUGUGCGACUGAGAAUUUUUGUGGAUUUGAAGCAUGAUAUUUCAAAUGCUAUUGGGAUCAGGAGAAAUGGGUAGUGUCUGUUGAAGUAGCAUAUCAGGAAUCUUGAUUUGUAUGAGCACAUAAAUUUAGGAUGGCAAUAUCGAUGAUGGGAGAAAUAGUUCUUCUUGAGCAACUAUGUUGAGAGUCUACUGUCCUUUGAUGGAAGCAAUGAGAGUCUAACGCAGCUGUUAUGAUGAGGAUAUUGUCUUACCGCCUCAAUUGGCGUCGACACUAAAGUUCGAGCUGUUGAAGUGCUGGUUUUCUGAGUAUUCUUUUUGCAAAAAGCAGUUUCCUUAAUUAGCUUCUGUGUUAACUUUGUACCUCUAUAUGUUUAUGCUAGUUAUAAAGCUGAAGAUUUUAAGGUUUUUGCAUUGAAGAAACUUAUGCAGGAUACUUGUGUGUACUCUAGGCGUGACAAUAGAAUUUUUGAAGGCAACAAGAGAAACAUUCUUUGUCUUAAGUUUAAGGUUUUACCUUUUGCUUUCUGGUGCAAACUAGUACAGGCUAUAGAUGCCAUGUUAGACAUGAUGGGGAAAUUGCAGAACUUGUAAUUACUUUUUUGAUGCACUAGCUUAGUGUUUAUUCAUCUUUGUAAUAUACCUUAUCAUUUAGCAAAACAUUGGUGUGUAUUGACUAACUUAUAUUGGGAAAUCAGCUGCUUGACAAGGCUUUAGACAAACUGGAACAGGAAAUUUGCACAGAGGGAGGGGAGAUAGAAUCUGAUGGAAUAAGAAUUCCAGGGGUAAGUUUUACUGUUAAAAGGUUGCCAAUGUGUUUUGGCAAACAGGAAGUAUUGUAUACUCCUGGCCAUGGAAAAGGAUAAGGAAAAUUAAAGCUCCAAAGUAAAUUCUCUCAGCUGGAUAAUCUUUCUUAACGCAAGACAACUUGAUGAAGAGAGGAUUUGAACUUUUGAAUAGAUACUUUCUAUGCAAAACAUUUGCUGUUGCACUGUGUGGUAGCCAGAGAUAUAUGGAGCAUGAUUUGUGGAAUUCAAGGGGUUAAUGCCAAAGCCAAACAGUCCAAAGGAUGCUUUGGUAAGCUGGUGGCUAUGGAAAGUGGAGAAAGGGAAGGAAAAAAGAUACGGCAAAAUGCCUCUUGAACCUUUUUUGUUGGUGUAAGCAGAGGGAUGUGACUGAUGUAAAUCUAUUUUUGGACUU